GUGGGGAAUCUUAGACAAUGGGGGAAACCCUGAUCUAGCCAUGCCGCGUGAGCGAUGAAGGCCUUAGGGUUGUAAAGCUCUUUCAGGGGGGAAGAUAAUGACGGUACCCCCAGAAGAAGCCCCGGCUAACUCCGUGCCAGCAGCCGCGGUAAUACGGAGGGGGCUAGCGUUGUUCGGAAUUACUGGGCGUAAAGCGCACGUAGGCGGACCAGAAAGUCAGGGGUGAAAUCCCGGGGCUCAACCCCGGAACUGCCUUUGAAACUCCUGGUCUUGAGGUCGAGAGAGGUGAGUGGAAUUCCGAGUGUAGAGGUGAAAUUCGUAGAUAUUCGGAGGAACACCAGUGGCGAAGGCGGCUCACUGGCUCGAUACUGACGCUGAGGUGCGAAAGCGUGGGGAGCAAACAGGAUUAGAUACCCGUGUAGUCC
rnacentral:rRNA from 1 species